UACGUAGGGUGCAAGCGUUAAUCGGAAUUACUGGGCGUAAAGCGUGCGCAGGCGGCUUUGCAAGACAGAUGUGAAAUCCCCGGGCUCAACCUGGGAACUGCAUUUGUGACUGCAAGGCUGGAGUACGGUAGAGGGGGAUGGAAUUCCGCGUGUAGCAGUGAAAUGCGUAGAUAUGCGGAGGAACACCGAUGGCGAUGGCAAUCCCCUGGACCUGUACUGACGCUCAUGCACGAAAGCGUGGGGAGCAAACAGG
rnacentral:rRNA from 1 species